rnacentral:rRNA from 1 species
CCUACGGGAGGCAGCAGUGGGGAAUUUUGGACAAUGGGCGCAAGCCUGAUCCAGCCAUGCCGCGUGAGUGAAGAAGGCCUUCGGGUUGUAAAGCUCUUUCGGCGGGGAAGAAAAGGUACGUGCUAAUACCACGGACUAAUGACGGUACCCGAAGAAGAAGCACCGGCUAACUACGUGCCAGCAGCCGCGGUAAUACGUAGGGUGCAGGCGUUAAUCGGAAUUACUGGGCGUAAAGCGUGCGCAGGCGGUUUGUUAAGACAGAUGUGAAAUCCCCGGGCUUAACCUGGGAACUGCGUUUGUUACUGGCAAGCUAGAGUGUGGCAGAGGGGGGUAGAAUUCCAGGUGUAGCAGUGAAAUGCGUAGAUAUCUGGAGGAAUACCGAUGGCGAAGGCAGCCCCCUGGGCUAACACUGACGCUCAUGCACGAAAGCGUGGGGAGCAAACAGGAUUAGAUACCCUGGUAGUCCACGCCCUAAACUAUGUCAACUGGUUGUCGGGGAAGCAAUUCCUUGGUAACGAAGCUAACGCGUGAAGUUGACCGCCUGGGGAUACGGCCGCAAGGUUAAAACNCAAAUGAAUUGACGG